rnacentral:antisense_RNA from 1 species
GCACACCACAGAGCUCGGGAGAACCAACAGCGUCUCUGUAUAGCAGGGAGAUGGGCAGAUGGGGGAUCCAGGCUGGGCCAGCCUUGUCCACAGCCCAUAGGAGGGUUGACCAGCCAGAAGGGUGCAUCAGGGGUGCCCAGAGGGUCAGAAGGCCAGGCUGGGGCCCCGAGUCCCAGGGGAGGCCUGGGAAAGCCCCGGGGGAGGCCAUGGUUCCACUCGGUGGCCGGGCCAAGCAGGCUGUGCCCAGCUGGCUCUAGAGCGUGCAGAAGGGGCCUGUGUCGUGGCGCUUGGGUCUGCGCACACCCUGGAUGACCACGCCAGGCGCCGAGGGGAAGCGCCUCCUUACAGGCGCUGAGCCAGGAGGUGAACGCAGGGGAGCGGCUCAUUGAGAAGGCCGGCGAGCGGGGGCUCUGCAGGUGGCUCCCAGGAAGGAUAUUUCAGCUUUCUGCGUGAAGGGGCUUUCGCUCUGGAACCACAAAGUCUGCCAUGCCCUGCGGCCACCGCCCUCUGUAGUUGGAGGAUGGAGAGAGAGAAGGCUGGGAGCCCCACCCAGGUGGCCAUGGGUCCAGUGUUUGCCUCCAUUGAUGUAAAAAUUUGCCAGGAAUUUCACCGCCUUCUGGUCAAAAUUCAUCCUCAGAGUCUCCUGGCUGUCUUCCCCGAGGGCGCCACGGAGCUCUGUGACCUCACUGGUAGGCCCCUCUGUUGCUGGGACUCCUGAGGAAGACACAUUGUCUGGCCCUGGAGGGGCUGCCUCGGGGCCGCGCCCCCACCCCUGGUGGGCCCCUCCCCCACUAACUAGAUGAUCACCAGGUCUGCCUGGGCCGGGACCCCCAGCCUGCCCAGGUGACUCCUGGCCCAGCCCUCUCCCUUCCCCCCUAACUUUUCCACCCUUCUCCCCUCUCCUGCACCCUGGGGUCUCCUGGAAGUCUGGGGUCCACUCUAGCAGGUCUGGGAGGACUGAGGCCUCAGCAGAGGGGGUGGAGCAAACAGGACCCAUGGGCAUCCACCAAGCCCUAGGAGAUGCCCAGCUGUGUCCGGCCAGCCAGGAUCCCCUGGGGGUAGGAGGGAGGGGUCCAGGAAGGCUCCCUGGAGGAAGAGGAGGAGCCGCCACCCCAUCUGGAUUUCCACUUAAGGGAAAAGCAAAGCCACAUCAGAUGGGUCUGACACCAGAGGCAGGUCGGGCCCUGGAGCCCAGCUAGGGCUGUGAUGUGAGGGCCUGCCUCUUACCUGGGGGCACAGAGGCUAGAAGGUGUCACAGAUGGCCGGGCUGUGUGAGCAAGAGCCUGUGUGGGCACCAGGGCCCUCGCUGUGUAGUCUGUGGAGCUGACCACCGGCUGGUCCCAGCCCUGACCUUGGCCCAGAAUCCACCAGGGCAGGGCCUGUGAACAGGGCCAACUUGGAGCCCUCCUCCGCCCUCUCUGGAUGCCUCCCCUUCAGCACUGGGCCCGCCAGGCAGACAGAUGGACACAUGCUUGAGGAAACACAGGUUUUAUCUGGGCGAGGGGUUCACGCCCUGUGCUCCGGGGCCCCUGCCCAGGUCGUGCUGGGUUCAGAGUUGACUGGCUGCCAGUGGAACAGAGUGUACUUUGCUAAUGAAGUCCUUGUCAUUGGACAGAUAGGCCCCUCCAGGUCCUCCCUGCCCUGUAAAAAAUGUUGCCGCUGUGAAUGGUGCUGCUGAACAUC